GACGAACGCUGGCGGCGUGCUUAACACAUGCAAGUCGAACGGAAAGGCCCUGCUUUUGUGGGGUGCUCGAGUGGCGAACGGGUGAGUAACACGUGAGUAACCUGCCCUUGACUUUGGGAUAACUUCAGGAAACUGGGGCUAAUACCGGAUAGGAGCUCCUGCUGCAUGGUGGGGGUUGGAAAGUUUCGGCGGUUGGGGAUGGACUCGCGGCUUAUCAGCUUGUUGGUGGGGUAGUGGCUUACCAAGGCUUUGACGGGUAGCCGGCCUGAGAGGGUGACCGGCCACAUUGGGACUGAGAUACGGCCCAGACUCCUACGGGAGGCAGCAGUGGGGAAUAUUGCACAAUGGGCGGAAGCCUGAUGCAGCAACGCCGCGUGCGGGAUGACGGCCUUCGGGUUGUAAACCGCUUUCGCCUGUGACGAAGCGUGAGUGACGGUAAUGGGUAAAGAAGCACCGGCUAACUACGUGCCAGCAGCCGCGGUGAUACGUAGGGUGCGAGCGUUGUCCGGAUUUAUUGGGCGUAAAGGGCUCGUAGGUGGUUGAUCGCGUCGGAAGUGUAAUCUUGGGGCUUAACCCUGAGCGUGCUUUCGAUACGGGUUGACUUGAGGAAGGUAGGGGAGAAUGGAAUUCCUGGUGGAGCGGUGGAAUGCGCAGAUAUCAGGAGGAACACCAGUGGCGAAGGCGGUUCUCUGGGCCUUUCCUGACGCAGAGGAGCGAAAGCGUGGGGAGCGAACAGGCUUAGAUACCCUGGUAGUCCACGCUGUAAACGGUGGGUACUAGGUGUGGGGUCCAUUCCACGGGUUCCGUGCCGUAGCUAACGCUUUAAGUACCCCGCCUGGGGAGUACGGCCGCAAGGCUAAAACUCAAAGGAAUUGACGGGGCCCCGCACAAGCGGCGGAGCAUGCGGAUUAAUUCGAUGCAACGCGUAGAACCUUACCUGGGUUUGACAUGGAUCGGGAGCGCUCAGAGAUGGGUGUGCCUCUUUUGGGGUCGGUUCACAGGUGGUGCAUGGCUGUCGUCAGCUCGUGUCGUGAGAUGUUGGGUUAAGUCCCGCAACGAGCGCAACCCUUGUUCACUGUUGCCAGCACGUUAUGGUGGGGACUCAGUGGAGACCGCCGGGGUCAACUCGGAGGAAGGUGGGGAUGACGUCAAGUCAUCAUGCCCCUUAUGUCCAGGGCUUCACGCAUGCUACAAUGGCUGGUACAGAGAGUGGCGAGCCUGUGAGGGUGAGCGAAUCUCGGAAAGCCGGUCUCAGUUCGGAUUGGGGUCUGCAACUCGACCUCAUGAAGUCGGAGUCGCUAGUAAUCGCAGAUCAGCAACGCUGCGGUGAAUACGUUCCCGGGGCU
rnacentral:rRNA from 1 species